CUCGUAAUCAUCUAUAUGGAGAGAUUUCAAGCAAGAAUCGGCUAUACGUUGGAUUGCAGCAGAGAAUCAUCCAUUACUUCAUUUUACUUUGGUUGCCUUUCCUAGAAAGCCUAAUACAAAUGAUCAAGAAAUUACAACGCAGUGCCCCUUCAGGCUGAACCAAACCAAUAGAAGAGGAACAAAGUAUCGGUGGUAGCUAAUGAGAACUUUAUCACAUGCAAAUCUGAUCAAGUUUCAAAACUAUCCAAAAGUAUUCCCACCUCACUGAAAUAUAAUCUAGCCACGAAGGAAGUGUAAAAUGGAGA
rnacentral:misc_RNA from 1 species